UCCGCCGCGAGCUCAUGGAAAGGCCAGGCAGCUGCCGCCGCUGUCCGAACCUCGCUCCCUCCCUCCCAGGCUCCGGGCGACGGACGGGGCGGCAGGAGGCAUGACGGGAAAUUCCUGGGCACGGGCAGCCGAGUCCAAAUAUGAGCAUAGGAGACGAGCGAGGGAGGACCACGGAGCGCGCCGGCCGCGGACGGGGCCCGCUGCCCGGGGCUCUGCGGCCGCCAACUCCCUCCUCCUCUGCCCUGUCCUCUUCCUCCUCCUCCUCCUCCUCCUCCUCCUCCUCCUCUGCGCCGUCCUCCUUCUCCUCCUCCCCCUCUUCCUCCUUCCCACGGUUGCCGGCCGCCCUCUGCAAGGGGGCAUCCCUUUCCAACUCGGGACCUCAGAGCACAGCCGAGCGCCCACCUGGCGUGUUCCACCUGAGACCGCUGAAGGAGUGGGAAACAGACAAAUCAACACGAAGAGACCGGACAGCGAGCCAGGGACUUGUGGGAAGACGUGUCAGGAGUUGAGAGCGUUGGUGGUGAGGGGAUAAAAAGUUGUGGGAGAGUGAGGUAGGAGCAGCGCUGCCAGUUAGUUACUUGGCCAUCCUAUAUAUACCGAACAAGCACUCACUAUAAUACGCGUUCCAGUAAAGUGAUUUGCCUGCAUCUCCAAUGAUGGUAUUUUCUGUUUGACACAGUCGAAGCUAUCCCUUUUGUUGAUAAAUUCUGGAGAAAGUUGAAGUCUAUACUCCCGUGAUUGAUGUGCUGCCUGACUCUGCCAGAUUUUGCUUUGGAUAUGCUGCAGAUGCAGAAGGCUGGAUCCACCGCCAAACCAGAAAAUCUGCACCACCUAUUCUUCGUGUUUCCGUGCGAACUCUAGACUCAUUAGCAGCAAGGAAGUCAACAGCUCUAUCCCAGACUUUCUUCAUUUUUUUCCUAUCAAGUGGACAAAAUGGCAAAUUUACUAUCAUCUUGGCUUAUGUCAUCUUUUUGAAAUAUUAGUAUCUGAGGUAAUGUUAACUCUAGCUGUUCUUACCACUACUCAUGGAGUUUGUUCAAAGAAGAUUUAGAUGCCUAUACCUCAUCUCAGAUUUACUGAGUUUCAAUUUCCAGAGCUAGAGCACAAACAUCUGUAUUUUUUUUUCCCCCAAAGCUCCACUGGCGAUUAUGUGCUGCUAGGGUCAAGAUGCUGCUUCAGGAUAUGGAAUUAUCUAUUAUUUUCAAAAAGUUGUAUUUAGUUUUUACUUUAAAAUCUUCAUUAAUAAUAAAAUUAGUACUUAAUAAACAUUAGUAAAACACCA